GACGAACGCUGGCGGCGUGCUUAACACAUGCAAGUCGAGCGAUGAAGCCUAGCUUGCUAGGUGGAUUAGUGGCGAACGGGUGAGUAAUACGUGAGUGACCUACCUUUGACUCUGGGAUAAGCCUGGGAAACUGGGUCUAAUACCGGAUACGACCAAUCUCCGCAUGGGGUGUUGGUGGAAAGCGUUAUGGAGUGGUUUUAGAUGGGCUCACGGCCUAUCAGCUUGUUGGUGAGGUAAUGGCUUACCAAGGCGACGACGGGUAGCCGGCCUGAGAGGGUGACCGGCCACACUGGGACUGAGACACGGCCCAGACUCCUACGGGAGGCAGCAGUGGGGAAUAUUGCACAAUGGGCGCAAGCCUGAUGCAGCGACGCCGCGUGAGGGAUGACGGCCUUCGGGUUGUAAACCUCUGUUAGCAUCGAAGAAGCGAAAGUGACGGUAGGUGCAGAGAAAGCGCCGGCUAACUACGUG
rnacentral:rRNA from 1 species